AGAGAGGUAUCGCAAAAGGACUUAGAUUUAGAGUCUGACCCUUGGACUGGCAUCUCAGACAGUGUGAAGGAUCUGAUAAAGAAGAUGCUUGAAAGAGACCCUAGGAAAAGAUUUCUGCUCAGCAAGUUCUGCGUCACUCGUGGAUUGUUGAUGACGGAGUUGUCCCCGAACAUACCUCUCGUUCCUAGUAAAACAAAUCCCAGAAUUAUGGGAUAUCUCUCUCUCUCUCUUUAGGACCUUUAUUUUGUUCCUCUAGGUCAACUGUGGAUUGUUGGUGACGGAGUUUCCCCCGACAUACGUCUCAUCUGAAGCAAGUCUCAUCAAUGAACAAACUUUAAAAGAUGGCAUUGGUGUAUGCUGUUGAUUUUUUAUUUUUUUGUGAAUGUUGUAGAUUAUCAUAUGAAAAUUGGAUGUACAUUGAACAAUGUUUCUGUAACUUUCAAAUAAGUUGUGAGAUUCGUACAUU